UAUGGACCUUGUAUAGGCAGUAUCAUUCCAGCACAAAGAAACUACAGAGGACUUAUCAGUGCUGGUCCCUUCAAUCAGAACUACAGCUAUCAGACUGGUUUUAUCCCACGUAAGAAUCCAAAUCUUGUACUAUGCAAGAUUAAUCCUUAGAUUUGCUUAAUGGAAGUUCAUAAAUGGCAACAAUCCCACUACUGGUAUUCCAAAUGUUGAAGAGUAAAUUGAUCUUUGAUUACAACAUUAAAAAAAUAAGCAGUG